GGUUCGAUUAUAUUCAGAUUGAACGCUGGCGGGAUGCUUUACACAUGCAAGUCGAACGGCAGCACGGACUUCGGUCUGGUGGCGAGGCGAACGGGUGAGUAAUGAAAUCGCCUAGUAGCGGGGGAUAACUACGCGAAAGCGUAGCCAUUACCGCAUACCGCCUUCGGGAAAGCGGGGGACCUUCGGGCCUCGCACUAUUAGAGCGGCCGAUAUCGGAUUAGCUAGUUGGUGGGGUAACGGCUCGUCAAGGCGACGAUCCGUAGCUAUUGGUUUGAGAGGACGACCAGCCACACUGGGACUGAGACACGGCCCAGACUACGGGAGUGGCGGUGGGGAAUUUUGGACAAUGGGGAAACCCUGAUCCAGCCAUCCCGCGUGUGCGAUGAAGGCCUUCAAGCUGUAAAGCACUUUUUGGUGUGAAGAAACGGCACGGGAUAAUACCCCGUGCAACUGACGGUACCUGCAGAAUAAGCACCACAACUACGUGCCAGCAGCCGCAGUAAUAGCGAAGUGCUGCUAAUCGGAAUUACUGGGCGUAAAGCGCGGCGCGUCUGGAAAGAAAGAUGUGAAAUCCCGCAGGUUUCUAACUUUGGAACUGCAUUUUUAACUACCGAGCUAGAGUGUGUCAGAGGAAAAUUCCGGCGUGUAGCAGUGAAAUGCGUAGAUAAGGUGAGGAACACCGAUGGCGAAGCAGCCUCCUAGAGCAACACUGACGCUCAUGCACGAAAGCGUGGGAGCAAACAGGAUUAGAUACCCUGGUAGUCCACGCCCUAAACGAUGUCAACUAGCUGUUGGGGGCCUGGCCAGGCGCAGUUAACGCGUGAAGUUGACCGCCUGGGGGAGCAUGGUCGCAAGAUUAAAACUCAAAGGAAUUGACACCCGCACAAGCGGUGAUGAUGUGGAUUAAUUCGAUGCAACGCGGCAAAACCCAUCACCCUUGACAUGUCUGAAUCCCGAAGACUGGGAGUGCUCGCAAGAGAACCGGAAACACAAAGCGUAUGGCUGUCGUCAGCUCGUGUCAAAGAGAUGUUGGGUUGGUCCCUUGGCAACGAGCAACCCUUUGUCAUUGGUUGCUACGAAAGGGCACUCUAAUGAGAUCGCCGGUGACAAACUGAGGAAGGUGGGGAUGGUACGUCAAGUCCUCGCGCGGUUCUGCGGUGGGCUUCACAUCAUACAAUGGUCGGGACAGGGUCGCCAACCCGCGAGGGAGCCAAUCCCAGAACCCGAUCGUAGUCCGGAUCGCAGUCUGCAACUCGACUGCGUGAAGCUGGAAUGUCCGCUAGUAAUCAAGAUCAGCAUGUCGCGGUGAAUACGUUCCCGGUCUGCACACACCGCCCGUCACACCAUGGAGUGGGUUUUACUGCGCGAAGUUAGCCUAACCGUAAGGAGGGCGAUUACCAGCUGGUGGACCUAUGACUGGGGUGAAGUCGUAACAAGGUAG
rnacentral:rRNA from 1 species